rnacentral:rRNA from 1 species
GUCGAACGCUUCUUUUUCCACCGGAGCUUGCUCCACCGGAAAAAGAGGAGUGGCGAACGGGUGAGUAACACGUGGGUAACCUGCCCAUCAGAAGGGGAUAACACUUGGAAACAGGUGCUAAUACCGUAUAACAAUCAAAACCGCAUGGUUUUGAUUUGAAAGGCGCUUUCGGGUGUCGCUGAUGGAUGGACCCGCGGUGCAUUAGCUAGUUGGUGAGGUAACGGCUCACCAAGGCCACGAUGCAUAGCCGACCUGAGAGGGUGAUCGGCCACAUUGGGACUGAGACACGGCCCAAACUCCUACGGGAGGCAGCAGUAGGGAAUCUUCGGCAAUGGACGAAAGUCUGACCGAGCAACGCCGCGUGAGUGAAGAAGGUUUUCGGAUCGUAAAACUCUGUUGUUAGAGAAGAACAAGGAUGAGAGUAACUGUUCAUCCCUUGACGGUAUCUAACCAGAAAGCCACGGCUAACUACGUGCCAGCAGCCGCGGUAAUACGUAGGUGGCAAGCGUUGUCCGGAUUUAUUGGGCGUAAAGCGAGCGCAGGCGGUUUCUUAAGUCUGAUGUGAAAGCCCCCGGCUCAACCGGGGAGGGUCAUUGGAAACUGGGAGACUUGAGUGCAGAAGAGGAGAGUGGAAUUCCAUGUGUAGCGGUGAAAUGCGUAGAUAUAUGGAGGAACACCAGUGGCGAAGGCGGCUCUCUGGUCUGUAACUGACGCUGAGGCUCGAAAGCGUGGGGAGCAAACAGGAUUAGAUACCCUGGUAGUCCACGCCGUAAACGAUGAGUGCUAAGUGUUGGAGGGUUUCCGCCCUUCCGUGCUGCAGCUAACGCAUUAAGCACUCCGCCUGGGGAGUACGACCGCAAGGUUGGAACUCAAAGGAAUUGACGGGGGCCCGCACAAGCG